rnacentral:rRNA from 1 species
CCUACGGGUGGCAGCAGUGAGGAAUAUUGGUCAAUGGGCUUACGCCUGAACCAGCCAAGUCGCGUGAGGGAAGACUGCCCUAUGGGUUGUAAACCUCUUUUGUCAGGGAGCAACGCCGGCUACGUGUAGCCGGACUGAGAGUACCUGAAGAAAAAGCAUCGGCUAACUCCGUGCCAGUAGCCGCGGUAAUACGGAGGAUGCGAGCGUUAUCCGGAUUUAUUGGGUUUAAAGGGUGCGUAGGCGGAAUGCCAAGUCAGCGGUAAAAUCGCGGGGCUCAACCUCGCUCCGCCGUUGAAACUGGCGGUCUUGAGUGGGCGAGAAGUAUGCGGAAUGCGUGGUGUAGCGGUGAAAUGCAUAGAUAUCACGCAGAACUCCGAUUGCGAAGGCAGCAUACCGGCGACAAACUGACGCUGAGGCACGAAAGCGUGGGUAUCGAACAGGAUUAGAUACCCCUGUAGUC